CAGUAGCCGCGGGAAUACGAAGGGUGCAAGCGUUAAUCGGAAUUACUGGGCGUAAAGCGUGCGUAGGCGGUGAGUUAAGUCUGCUGUGAAAUCCACGGGCUCAACCUGGGAAUGGCAGUGGAUACUGGCUCGCUAGAGUGUGUCAGAGGAUGGCGGAAUUCCCGGUGUAGCAGUGAAAUGCGUAGAGAUGUGGAGGAAUACCGAUGGCGAAGGCAGCCCCCUGGGCCAAUACUGACGCUCAUGCACGAAAGCGUGGGGAGCAAACAGGAUUAGAUACCCCCGUAGUCCCUGUCUCUUAUAC
rnacentral:rRNA from 1 species